UUUCAGAUGUAUGAAUAAGUAUUUAUAUUACAAUUAGGUUCGCUUCUUAAAAAGUUAAACCAUGUGUUUAAAGUAUAUAUAUUAUAACAAAUCAUGACACUACAGUGUAUACUAAUGAAAAAAUGCCUUAACAACUGAGCUCUGGGAAAAGAGACAAGAACUCCUGAUGAUAUCUGCAAUUUUAUGCUCAUGUCUUGAACAUCAUCCUCAAUACAUACUUUCUUUUGGUGAUUAAUGAAUGAAGUAGAGGCUUCUGCGAGUAUGAAACGUGCAAAGAAGAAGACCACCUGUGAAAGAUUGUACUUCUUUCUUUACUUUUGUAACCAUUAAAUUUGUUCCCGUAUAACAAGAAAAUAAAAUAAAAAAAAUCCCUAAAUAAUUGUAGUUCUUACCA